GCUAGCUCAAUCGGUAGAGCGUGAGACUCUUAAUCUCAAGGUUGUGGGUUCGACCCGUAAGCA
rfam:Colletotrichum fioriniae PJ7 Scaffold_538.1, whole genome shotgun sequence.